AGUGAACGCUGGCGGUAGGCCUAACACAUGCAGGUCGAACGGCAGCACAGUAAGAGCUUGCUCUUACGGGUGGCGAGUGGCGGACGGGUGAGGAAUACAUCGGAAUCUACUUUUUCGUGGGGGAUAACGUAGGGAAACUUACGCUAAUACCGCAUACGACCUACGGGUGAAAGCAGGGGAUCUUCGGACCUUGCGCGAUUGAAUGAGCCGAUGUCGGAUUAGCUAGUUGGCGGGGUAAAGGCCCACCAAGGCGACGAUCCGUAGCUGGUCUGAGAGGAUGAUCAGCCACACUGGAAAUGAGACACGGGCCAGACUCCUACGGGAGGCAGCAGGGGGGAAUAUUGGACAAUGGGCGCAAGCCUGAUCCAGCCAUACCGCGUGGGUGAAGAAGGCCUUCGGGUUGUAAAGCCCUUUUGUUGGGAAAGAAAAGCAGCAGGUUAAUACCCCGCUGUUCUGACGGUACCCAAAGAAGAAGCACCGGCUAACUUCGUG
rnacentral:rRNA from 1 species